UCCCCUACCUGGAGGUCCCGCAGGCGCCCUGUCCACCCAGACUCCUCGGGUCACCCCCACCAGCUUCCUGCUCGGGGGACGGCCCCUGGCGGGCGGAGGUCCCGCUGCGCUCUGACCAGCCCACCACCCGUGUCCCCAGCUUCUGCCGCAGGGCCUGGCUGCGUUCUGUGUUCUCUGCACCCGUUAACCUGCUUGGUGCUGAGUGCAUGGGGCUCCCGUGUGCCUGGUCCCUGAGGGAGGACGUGUGCGCAGCCCCUUGGUGGGCACGGCCGCCCCUCGGCCACGGUGAGAGCACCGUCCCCCGCUGUGCCCGCGCGCUCAGCCUGGCGCUCAGCCCUUGCACGGCGUUUACUUACGCAGCUGCCAGGCUGUGUUCCCCGGGUCCAGUGUGGAUGCAGGGCCCCCACCGAGUGGAAGCAGGAGCAGCUCACGGUCGGCCCUGCAGCUAGGGUUCUGCGUGUCCCCAUGUGGCCCCACGGCUGGGGUUCUGCGUGGCCCCUAGGAGGCACUGAGUGGCCCUGCAGCUGGGGUUCUGCGUGGCCCUGUGGCUGGGGUUCUGCGUGGCCCCCGGGUGGCACUGAGUGGCCCUGCAGCUGGGGUUCUGUGUGGCCCUGUGGCUGGGCUCUUCGCAGCGGACGCCCACGGGGCCACUUCUCUGCCUCCACCCGAGCACCUGUCCUAGGGAGAUGCUGACUCUCGGGCGCGGCUGCUGCAGAGCAGACACUUCUUUAUUUGUUAAUUUCUCAAGUCAGCCAUGUUUUUACAUGUCCUUCAGACAAAACAGCCAUUUCUUGUUGCCGGAUCUCUGGGCCGGUCCUGUGCCAACGUGGUGACAGUGCCUCACAGGGUCCCUCGUCUCUCUCCUGCUUUUUCCCAUCUUCAAGCCAAAGCCUGCCCAGCAGCCCCACCUCCCACUCGCUCAGUGCAACCCCAGCCUGGAGCUGGUGGGUCUGCAGGGGGCCAGGUUCCAGACCGAGCAGGUGUCUAAUGGCCUCACCGGGUUCCCGGGUGUUCACGCCCACAGGUGUCACUGCGGGACCCUCUGGCCGAGUCAAAUCAUAGUUUUCAGUCCUUAGUUUCCUGCAGCCGUCCCAGCACGCGGCAUGCCCCAGGCUCCAGCCAUUCCACCAGCCCCUCGACGCACACCUCAAUGCAGGAGGGCAGGGCCGAGCUGUUGCAGAGCAGGUCAGGGCUUCUGGCUGGGCCGGAGGAUGGGACGGCUCGGGAGACCUGCUGUGGUCUGGCUUCUUCCUCCGCAGCUGCCCAACUGCCGCCCCAGGAGAGGUGUGUGUGGUUUCUUGCCCACAAAGCCACUUGCCUUUCCCCCAGUGCGCGUGUGGGGGCGCCCAGCGGGGGACGGCGUGCCGGGGGUUGCCUAGCUGGGAGGGAAGGAGGCCGAGGUGAGUGAACUGACCCUCGCACUGUCUCGGGGUGCCCCAGCACUUGUCCCCAGCUCGUGAGCGGACGUCACCUGUGGGUGGAGAGCCACCCCAGCCCAGGUCUGGCACGAAAGGUCUCGAUCUAUCUUGACCGCAGUAAGCAGGGAGUCUCCUUAGUACAGAAGCUGAGCACUCGGGCCUCAUGGGGCC